rnacentral:rRNA from 1 species
GUGAACGCUGGCGGUGUGUUUAAUACAUGCAAGUCGAGCGCCCACUUCGGUGGGAGCGGCGAACGGGUGAGUAAUACGUUGGUAACUACCUCAGACUCAGGGAUACCCCACUGAAAAGUGGGUUAAUACCGGAUGGUCCCGAAAGGGUAAAGAUUUAUCGGUCUGAGAGGUGCCUGCGUCCUAUCAGCUUGUUGGUGAGGUAACGGCUCACCAAGGCUAUGACGGGUAGCUGGUCUGAGAGGAUGAUCAGCCACAGUGGGACUGAGACACGGCCCACACUCCUACGGGAGGCAGCAGUAAAGAAUCUUCCGCAAUGGGCGAAAGCCUGACGGAGCAACACCGCGUGGUUGACGAAGCCCUUCGGGGUGUAAAGACCUUUUCUGGGGGAAGAAUUCUGACGGUACCCUAGGAAUAAGCACCGGCUAACUUCGU